UACGUAGGGUGCGAGCGUUGUCCGGAAUUAUUGGGCGUAAAGAGCUUGUAGGCGGUCUGUCGCGUCGGGAGUGAAAUCCACUGGCUUAACUGGUGGCUUGCUUUCGAUACGGGCAGACUGGAGGUAUGCAGGGGAGAACGGAAUUCCUGGUGUAGCGGUGAAAUGCGCAGAUAUCAGGAGGAACACCGGUGGCGAAGGCGGGUCUCUGGGACGGUACUGACGCUGAGACGCGAAAGCGUGGGGAGCGAACAGG
rnacentral:rRNA from 1 species